UGGCGGCGUGGUUAAGACAUGCAAGUCGCACGGAGAAUCUUUGAAGCUUGCUUUUAAGAUUCUUAGUGGCGCACGGGUGAGUAACACGUGAGUUACAUGCCCUGCAGAGGGGAAUAGCCCGCCGAAAGGCGGAUUAAUACCCCAUGGUCCCGCAAGGGUAAAGGUGGCUUCGGCUGCCGCUGCAGGAUUGGCUCGCGUCCUAUCAGCUUGUUGGUAAGGUAACGGCUUACCAAGGCAACGACGGGUAGCUGGUCUGAGAGGACGAUCAGUCACACUGGAACUGAGACACGGUCCAGACACCUACGGGUGGCAGCAGUCGAGAAUAAUUCACAAUGGACGAAAGUCUGAUGGUGCAACGCCGCGUGGAGGAUGACGGUCUUCGGAUUGUAAACUCCUGUCAUUUGAGAGUAAGACCUGGCGGUCAAUAGCCGACAGGGUUGAUAGUAUCAAAAGAGGAAGGGACGGCUAACUUCGUGCCAGCAGCCGCGGUAAUACGAAGGUCCCGAGCGUUGUUCGGAAUCACUGGGCGUAAAGGGAGCGUAGGCGGUUUGGUAAGUCAGAUGUGAAAUCCCGGGGCUCAACCCCGGAACUGCAUCCGAUACUGCCAGACUUGAGUAAUGGAGGGGUAACUGGAAUUCUCGGUGUAGCAGUGAAAUGCGUAGAUAUCGAGAGGAACACUCGUGGCGAAGGCGAGUUACUGGACAUUUACUGACGCUGAGGCUCGAAGGCUAGGGUAGCGAAAGGGAUUAGAUACCCCUGUAGUCCUAGCAGUAAACGGUGUGCGCUUGGUGUGAG
rnacentral:rRNA from 1 species